UACGUAUGGGGCAAGCGUUAUCCGGAUUUACUGGGUGUAAAGGGAGCGUAGGCGGCCUGGCAAGCCUGAUGUGAAAUACCGGGGCCCAACCCCGGGGCUGCAUUGGGAACUGCCAGGCUGGAGUGCCGGAGAGGCAGGCGGAAUUCCUAGUGUAGCGGUGAAACGCGUAGAUAUUAGGAGGAACACCAGUGGCGAAGGCGGCCUGCCGGACGGUGACUGACGCUGAGGCUCGAAAGCGUGGGGAGCAAACAGG
rnacentral:rRNA from 1 species